GGGCCGCAGAGUUUUGUGGGUUGUAGCGGCCGGUGAAGGUUCUCCUAACUCCGGCAGCGGACGACUGACGGGGACAUUCAGCCACGACGGCUGCUGAGCGUCUGCGCCCUUACCUCCUGUCUCUGCUCUCCUCCCUCUGUCUGCCUGUAGCACCAACCAUGCGCUAGGGGCGCUGUGCAGCAUCUUCAGCUCUGCUCUUUUCGGAAAAAUACUAAACUGUCCAAAAAUCCUGCAGGGCACUGAGUGUGUUUCCGACCGCUGUUAAAGGACUGUUUUAGUGUUGGCAUGAGGCAUAGCAACAAUGGAUGGCUGCAUUGACUGAAUGUUGUGGAUGUUACCAGGGGCGUUACCAUACAUUCAGCCACAUUGGUGCACAGACAGUCCUGCUGUGAAGCUUUUAAUAUGGGACAAUAUGAACAGUUACCCAGGAUUGCAACAAUUAAAAAGUGGUGGAUUAAAAAAAAUACAAUUUCUUUGUCAGUUCCUCAUUGAACUAUGUUUCUAUUGCUUUUUUGUAGAAUUUAGGGAGUUGAUGUCCACUGUUUGCUGACUAUUGUAUAAGCUUUGUGAGGGACUGCAAGGGAUUUUAUCACAAUCAAAAAUGUUGAUUAUUCAUGAAAAAUGUAGAUGAAAUUCAGGAGAUCAUGCUUGAUUAGUUGAUGGAGACAAGAGACGUUCACCCAAGCAAAAACCACCAGUGGCUAAGUUUUCUAUUUUAAUGCAUAUUUGCAUAUUUCUAAGCAAUGUUUAAAUACUAGUGUUUACUUCAGUAAUUCAGAGUAGAAAAGCCAGUCUGCGGCUGACUUGUGGCAGAAAUGCUGAGUGACUAGAAAGCUCAUCAAAGGAAUUAAAUAUUUUUGUAAUCAUAUAUAUCAUUACACACUUUGUUUUUAACAAUUGUAACAUUUUACUAAGUUGUGAUCAGAAAUUCUGCUCAACCACACGUAACCAGGUUGUAUUCGACUUUGUUAUAAUUACACCAAAUGUUUUCCCUUACUCAGACAUUUCCUCUACCGUUAUGCAAACCACUCUGAUUAUUGUGAGCUGCAACUUUAAGAUCGGGAGCCCCUCCUCUUUAUUUCUUCCUCUGUGGUAUUGUUCUGUUAAAUUGUUUGCCCAAAGACAACCGGACCAGACCCUUCACACUUGGUGGCAUCAAGUAAUCUUGCAAUAAACGUAUCUUUAAUUCCAACGGCAUAAUAUUGCAAUGGAAAUUUUAGAAAUGUAUGUGUGGUUAAUGCACACCUUUAUUUGUGUGCAUUUACCACAUGAAACAUUUUAAGGUUCUAAAUCUUUAAGUGUUUGAAAAAGAUGAUUCAAAUAAAUACUUAUCCACUGAAGACACUGAAGGAAAUGCCAGUAUGUGGCACAAACGUUCAAAAAUGACUUCCAAAGAGCCACACUACAUAAACUAUAUUGUGGCUUUGAGUCGGUAGUACUAUGCCACUGUUUCUUAUCCACCAAACCUUUCAAUGCUGUUGUAGAUAUAGAGAAAGCAAUUGUUGCCAUUGUGUUUUUCUGCAGUAGAGAGGCAGAAGUUCUGUUGUUUGCUCAUCUUGUUCCUAUGAUUAUUAUUGGAUCAUCAUUUGAGUGGGCACAGGAUGAGACACUGCAAUGGCUAUGAUGUAAUGCAACCACAUCAAUUAUGGGCUCUAACUGACUGAAUGAAAAACAAAUGUUGUGUUAUGGCUGCAAAGAUUUUAUGAACAAUUUUUUAAGGCAUGAGUAAAAUGUGAGGUGUGACAUAGGUUUGAAUAAAACUGGCAAAAAAAAUAACUUAUUGAGUUACACAAUUAUACCAAUAUGUUUAGUUAAUAGGUGUUUCUUUUUUUUGACUGAAAUAAUGAAUGUUUUAAAUAUUUUCUUCGGUUGCACAUUUUAAAUCAAAGCUGCAGAUGGGAAGAUGACUUUCUCUCACUUCCUAAAAUCAACAGGAGCUGGAACAAAAAUGAAAGCUGAAAAUGAGACUGGAAAGAUUUAAGAGUCAACCAUGAUUUAUCUCACCCCUCUCAUUCUCUGACCUUUGUUUGGCAGGAGUCCAAAGUAAAGUAAUCAUGAAUUGUGAACACUUCCUCACUUGAAACCAUCUAAAAUCCAACAACAUCAAAAAAAUUCCUGGUAGCCGAAUAAUUUGCUGCCUCUUCUGUUCUGCCUGCUAGGAGAAAAGAACUAUCAACAAACAGAGUGACAGUUUUAACACUGGAUGUGUUAUUCAAACAAACUGUGACAAAGUCUUCACUUCCAGCUGAGCAGAGAUGUGAAAAACCACCACAAGUAUGUAAAUACCUGAAAGCUCAGCUGAACAGUGUUAUGGGAAAUGUAAAUCUAAUGUGUCGUGGUGUGUUUUAAAACACAGGAUAACGUGUGAAAACCUGUGAACCAGCUGAAAAAGGCACUUGUGUGUACCGUUUUGGUUGUGCUCAAAGUCUGUCCAGAUAUUGUUAUGCAGAGGUUUUUCAAUUAUUGUACCCACCUUUCAGUCAGGCAAGAAUUGAUGGAUUAUUAUUGAUUAAAAUAUACUAAAUUGGUACCAAGUUUUAAAAGAGAACAUUUCUCAAUAGUAAAAGGUUUGUACGGAAUUAAAUUUUACUGCGUCACUCUAGCCUUUCCCUUUCGCUCUAAUAACUUGUAGAGUAAAAUACAUAUAUGGCUUUUAUUUAGGUUUCUUUGUGUAUUUUUUUUAGCUCAGUUAAAUCUGUAAAUAGUACAUUUUAGCUUGGUUACAAAAUUAGGAAAUAAUUCAUCUUGAUUGCAGAGAUUACUGAUUAAUUUAGGAACAUUAAAGGAGAUGUAUUAUCCAUGCAUCAGAAAGAUACCUGGCGUGUUGCUUUAAUAGUUUCAUACAUAUUUGAGAAAUCUUUGAAUCUCACGUGGCAGCCAUUCAGGGCUGCCUAAACAUUUGUUCCCACAAAGCACUGCCUAUUUACACAAAGCUCCUCCUUAGAGCUGCCGUCUGACAGCUGACAGCGCAGCCCUUCCCCACACCUCCCACACACAGCUCAACCAGACUAGCAACAGCAGCAAUUAAGAAAGACCUGGUGGAACUAUGCGUCUGCUGAGGUGUCAAAUUACAAAGUCAAAUUUCUUGUAAGUCAUGUUUGAUAUAUCUUUAAAGACACCUGAAGGCAGGAUAGUUACUUCAUUGUACCACACUUACAACCCACACUUACAAAUUUGUGGAUGUUUAAUAUUAGAGAAGUUGCUAAUUUAACUAAUUACGUAAUUUGUGUAUGCUGAAAAAUAAGAAAAAGCUGUUUUAAAAAAAGGGAACAAAAUUCUAAGGUGAGUCUUAUUGUUUUGUUGAGUUCACAAUGAUUUUUGGCAUAAAAAGUCAAACAUUGGAAUUUUAACAGUUUUUGUUAGUCACGUGUUCUUUGUGAGAUUCAGAUUAGCUCCAACACCAGUCUGAUUGGAACGUGGAAAUACAUGAAGGUGUGUGUGUGGGGGGGUGUGCGUGCUUGUGUGGGUGUGAGUUCGCGCGUGUGUAUGGUGUGUGUGUGUGGGCGUGUGUGUGUGCUUACACUCAGUAAACAUGAUGGGAUGUGAGUCAGGUGGAGGGAGGAGAUGGCUCGGGCCGAUGCCAAGAAUGUAUGAAUGACGAGCCCUGUGCAGCAUUGUUCUGCCCUCUGAAACAGCUGUUAUUUAUAGGAUCUGGGAAAGGGUGGAUGAAGAGAGGGCCAGCCCAUCUGCUGGAAGUCACUAGGAAAAUUUAAGGCGUUUCAGGAAUAAGUGGGAGUACAAACAACACUGAACUUUGACGUUUCCUGUUUAAACGUUUUGAAGAAUUUCAAGCACUACCUGUUAUUCUGCUGGGUUUCCCCGAAGGAGCUCUAAACUGUAGCUUUCCUCUUUUAAGUUUCUAUUUUUUGGACAAUGAACCAUUAUUCUAGCAGAUUUAAUUUUAUGCAGUGUAGAGAAUGCUUGAUCCGAACAAAAAUAGAUAUUGUAUCAUAGGCUUUUGUGUUUUUUUUUUCAUUUAGUACAAAUGUAUUCCCAUUUGUAAUUCAGUUUUUUUUUUUCAGAACACAAUUUUUUUAAUGCAUAUUUGCAAGAAACCACAAGCGACAUAAAGAGAGAAGACAAUCAAUUGAGAGCAAACGUUCAUCAAACCAAAUUAAUUUAAAAAUGUAUAACUGUCUGGAAGAUAAGUGCACUUUAGUAGUUAAGGCUUCAGUUAUUCAAAGAUAUUUCUUUGAAACAUGACUCCAAACUAUUGGCAGAAAAUCUACCCAGAAAGUAGUUAUGGGUUUUCUUAGAGCCACAGACGCAAGUGAAUAUAAGUCUGCAGAUUUACAUUCAUUUGCAGUCCACUGUACUUCAGCUUGUGCCUAUAGAAGGUAUGAAGUACUACAAAGGAUUUGGACUCAAUUCUUAAAACUACUGGAUCAAGAUGCUGCUGUCCUUUCAUCAGAAAUAAAUUCUUUCUGAUGAAACAGGUAUACGCCUUAAUGCCAAUGUUAAUUCCUUUAUUCAUCUCUAGUCCUGAAGAUCAUCCUGUUGGGUGUGGAUCCAUUUCAGCUAUUAUGGUAUAUAUCUCAUGCCUAGUUCCCAAUGUUUAAUAUCAUGGCUAAGGAAAAAGGUUGAUCUAUGACUUUGCACUAAACAAGUCAAGUAAAGUCAAGUUUACUUGUAUAGCACAUUUCACAAAGUGUCUCACAUGAUAAAAACAUAACACAAUAACCAACACUGAGAAAAGCAACAAACAUUACAUACCAAUAAAGAAUAAUCACCAUCGAAUAUAUUAACCAGUAGUUCCUCUACUAAUCAAAUGCAGCUUUUAGCAAGUGGGGUUUUAUCCUUGAUUUAAAAGAACUCAGUGUUUCUGCAUUUUUGCAGCUUUCUGGAGGUUUGUUCCAGAUUUAUAGUGCAUACAACCUGAUUUCUGCUACUCCAUAUUUGGUUCUGUCUCUGAGGUGCAGGGUCUUGUUGACCUGUUUUGUUUUACACAACUCCUGCUAUUUUUCACAGACGUACUAAUGCUAAUGGCUUAAGUCUGCAAGUAGUUUGUCAAACUGAGGGGGAAAAAACACUUUCUUAGCCUUGCUUAAUUACAUUUUGUAAACUCUUUUCUUGUACUCUUGGUCUGGACUCUGGACAAUUAUUUACAUUUCACUCUUUGCUCCUCACAAAACCCCUCCUCUCUUCUUUUAGCUUGGACCCAGAACUGUCUCCUUCAAACCAAUGUCCUGUCAGUUUGGCUCCAGGCAGUGUAAUGUUCAACCAAUCGGCUGCUGCUGAGUGGAGCUGGAAUUUCACCUGGAGGGGAGCAGCACUCUGCAGAGGAUGUCAUUGACUGAGAUCAUCAGGACAUCUACAUACAGUAUUAAAAGGAGAGCCAAACAACUUUCUGCUUGGAGUUGGGAAAAUGUCACCAGGCACUUUUUGUGAUUGUGUCCCAUCUAAAUAUAGAGUUCUGCUGUCUGUUCUACAUUUUGAACCAUUUCAUGCUGCUGUGCCGCUCUCUAUUUUUACACUAGCAUCAGUAGAGAGGGCAAUGUGCUCUUUCAAAAUAGAGUAACAUUAUCUGCACUGCUGGAGAGAGGGUUUCAAGUGUGGCACAUGUAAAGCAGUGAGGUCCAGUUUCUUCUUGGGUAAAUAAAGCAAAUGUGCAUGCUUCCCUGUGGAACUGUGCUUGAUAGGCAUAAAUAGCACUCUGUUCCCCUUACUUUAGUCCGAAUUUUGUAGCAAUCAUGUUUGUUUCAGUGGGAAAAAAGUAGUUCUCACAAGAAUACAUCUCAUAAUACCUCACUCUACAAUAGCCAAAGUUUCGUCAUGGGAAAGUACAAACACUACUGAAAACCAGCAAAGCCAGUUGUGCUGCAUUCACAUAAAGGAAAGAAGAAUUACAGUCAGCUAACUGAGGAUAGCAUAAAAAUACACCCAAAAAAGUUUAAAGUUAUAAGCCAUUUGAGACAGAAACAAUACCAGGGCCAAAGAAUCAUCCUGGGGGAACUUUCCAGGUGACAUUUAGUUAAAACUUCAGUUUUUUUCCAUUUCUAUCUCUAUUCCUGUGGUGAAAUGCCAUCAGUAAACAUAAUGAACUGACUGAAAAAAAUAAUGUAAAAUAAAAAGAGUAUGUCCUCCUCUCAUGUCACCAACCGGAACAUCACAAAGCAACAUUGCAUUGCUUUUGAUAUUUUUAUUCCCAUUUCAUGUGAAAGAGAACAAAUGUCUCUGAUAUGUCUCCUAAAAAAAGUCCAAAAGCACAGAGUUAUUGUUGCAGGAUAAACAAAUACACUUGCAAAACAAAAUGAGGACAAACAUAUCAGAACAAUACAUGUUGGAGUUAGACAAUUAAAUUAUCAGAAGAAUUGUUUCACCUUCUGGACUUGUCCCCCCCCCCCAACAAAACCUUUUGAUUUCUUUCGUUCUGAUAAACGUAGUCCAUGCUCCACUCCACAUAGCUGCUUUUGUGAGUUUAUGGUGACAAUUUGCACAGAAUCUAGGCUGCUACCAAGUCAGUAAUUAAAACUAUACUUGUGAUGUUCUUAUAGAGUUUGUAUGGCCAAAGUAUUCCAUAAAAACAUAUGAUUUCAGAACUAUGUGAGUCCAGACUAAUCCACUGAAAGCAUUUGUUGCCUCCAGACUCAUCAGGGAAGGUUGUUCUGAAGAAGAUCACCACUCAAGAUAAUAUGAGUGGUGUUAAACUUGUCACUUUGUGUAAUCUAUUAUUCUAAUCUGUUUUAAUUCCUCAGAAACACAAGUGUAGUUGAAUUGUGUACAACAUUAAACAUUUUGUGAAACUGAAUGUGUUUUUGAUCAUUUAUGUAUGAUGUAAUGUAGUUAAUGUAAGACAUAUGUUCUCAUCUAUUCUUAAUUAAAUCUCACUGUUUGAGAUGCAUAAAUAUAUUCUCAUUCGAGAGAGGCUUGGGUGAAUCCUGCAGUAGACCAAAAGGUGAUUCCAAGAAAAAACAAACAAGCAAACAAAAAAUGUCUGUUCUAACAAAAAACAAAAGCAUUCUUCUGA